rnacentral:tRNA from 1 species
AGAAACUUAGGUUAACAAACCAAGGGCCUUCAAAGCCCUAAACAAGAGAAUUACACUCCUAGUUUCUG